rnacentral:rRNA from 1 species
GACAGACUUAAAAUAUUUAAUUUCUUCAUUAAAAUUUUAUCUUAAUUCAACAUCGAGGUCGCAAUCUUUUUUAUCAAUAUGAACUCUUUAAAAAUAUUACGCUGUUAUCCCUAAGGUAAUUUAAUUUAAUUUCAAUAAUAUUGAAUAAUUAAUUCAUAAAUACAUGUAAUUAUUUUAAAAAAUUUUAUAAAAUUUUUUUAAAGCCCCAGUAAAAUAAAUUUAAUUUAAAUUAAUUUUUAGUUUAUUUAAAUUAAUAUUAUAAAAUUCUAUAGGGUCUUCUCGCCUUUUAAUUAUUUAUAAGAAUUUUAACUUAUAAUAAAAUUUAAUUAAUUAAAUUGAGACAGAUUUUAUUUCAUUCAAUCUUUCAUCCUAGACUUAAAUAAUAAGACAAAUGAUUAUGCUACCUUAGUACAGUCAAAAUACUGCAGCUAUUUAAUUAUUCAUUGAGCAGAUUAGAUUUAAUAUUAUUAUCAAAAAACCAUGUUUUUGAUAAAC